GAUCCUGGCUUAGGAUGAACGCUAGCUACAGGCUUAACACGUGCAAGUCGAGGGGCAGCAUGGUCUUAGCUUGCUAAGACUGAUGGCGACCGGCGCACGGGUGAGUAACACGUAUCCAACCUGCCGUCUACUCUUGGACAGCCUUCUGAAAGGAAGAUUAAUACAAGAUGGCAUCAUGAGUCCGCAUGUUCACAUGAUUAAAGGUAUUCCGGUAGACGAUGGGGAUGCG
rnacentral:rRNA from 1 species